GUGGGGAAUCUUGCGCAAUGGGCGAAAGCCUGACGCAGCCAUGCCGCGUGAAUGAUGAAGGUCUUAGGAUUGUAAAAUUCUUUCACCGGGGACGAUAAUGACGGUACCCGGAGAAGAAGCCCCGGCUAACUUCGUGCCAGCAGCCGCGGUAAUACGAAGGGGGCUAGCGUUGCUCGGAAUUACUGGGCGUAAAGGGCGCGUAGGCGGACAGUUUAGUCAGAGGUGAAAGCCCAGGGCUCAACCUUGGAAUUGCCUUUGAUACUGGCUGUCUUGAGUACGGGAGAGGUGAGUGGAACUCCGAGUGUAGAGGUGAAGUGCGUAGAUAUUCGGAAGAACACCAGUGGCGAAGGCGACUCACUGGCCCGUUACUGACGCUGAGGCGCGAAAGCGUGGGGAGCAAACAGGAUUAGAAACCCUAGUAGUCC
rnacentral:rRNA from 1 species